rnacentral:rRNA from 1 species
AUUGAACGCUGGCGGCAGGCUUAACACAUGCAAGUCGAGCGGAGAUGAAGUGCUUGCACCUUAUCUUAGCGGCGGACGGGUGAGUAAUGCUUAGGAAUCUGCCUAUUAGUGGGGGACAACAUUCCGAAAGGAAUGCUAAUACCGCAUACGUCCUACGGGAGAAAGCAGGGGAUCUUCGGACCUUGCGCUAAUAGCUGAGCCUAAGUCGGAGAAGCUAGUUGGUUGGGUAAAGGCCUACCAAGGCGACGAUCUGUAGCGGGUCUGAGAGGAUGAUCCGCCACACUGGGACUGAGACACGUCCCAGACUCCUACGGGAGGCAGCAGUGGGGAAUAUUGGACAAUGGGCGGAAGCCUGAUCCAGCCAUGCCGCGUGUGUGAAGAAGGCCUUUUGGUUGUAAAGCACUUUAAGCGAGGAGGAGGCUCUUAAGGUUAAUACCCUUGAUGAGUGGACGUUACUCGCAGAAUAAGCACCGGCUAACUCUGUGCCAGCCGCCGCUGUAAGAC